UUGGUUGGAUCAGACACAGGCUGUCUGCCUGGAUUUUUCUAGCUCAUAGCUUCGCCAUGCUAAGACGUGUGUACUUGUACAAAGGCCGUUCAGCCUCGGGAUUUACACUCGGCUCAACACGGAUAUGUGAAGAAUGAAGGGACCCUGCAGCAAAAUGGAGAGCGCAACCUCUGACUGAGUGCCUGUUUAUGCAGUCUGACCACCUGUUGAAGGGCUGUUUGAUGAUGAUUUGGACUCCUCUGGGAGAUGAGGACACACCCACAUCUGUUCCAUACUGCAGCCAUUGAUGGUGUGACAGAUGCACACACUGGAAAACCAGCGCCUGGACUUCAUGCAGGAGAGACGGCCUCAGAGAUGGACCAAUCAGAGAGCUCCUUACAUCUCAUUACAUUUCAUAACAGUUAUUAUUUUUUAUUUGCAAUAUCCAGGAUGCGCUCCUUGUUAAAAAUUUCCACUUUGAAAAAUAACAUUUACACUUUUGUCCUCGAUCAGCGUCCCGGAUGCUUCUGUUGCUGCCACAACACCUAACCAUGAAAAUGGUAUAAAGAAGAAGAAGAAAAUAAAAUGGAGACACUUCUUCUGCUGUUUCUCGGAAACUGACAGCGAUACAGAGGCAGAGAGCCCCACUGUAAAGCCACAGAAAAAGUCCCGCUGGUCUAUUUUCAAAUUCUGGAAGAGAAGAAGGCAGGUUGCUCCAGAAACAACAGGGGAACCUGAUAAAAAGAGUGACAAAUUAAAGAACAUGCAGCAGGACUGUACACCUGCCGAGGCAGCACCACCAAAAGAAGACUGCCUAGAAACAAAAGGUCGAGAACUGGUUGCUUCAGAAACAACAGGGGAACCUGAUAAAAAGAGUGACAAGUAAGGGAAACAAAAGGCCAAGAACUGGACGUCAAGCCUCCACUGAACAGUUCAGAGGACCUAGUGUACAGGUCAUAACUACAGACAAUCCCAGCAGCACCCAUAAGGAAUGUGGUGAAAGUUCCAACCAGGUUAGAAACACCACUGAACAUAGUGAGCCAUCAGACCUGAGUUGGGACACUUUGAUUAUGGAGUUUCUGGCACAAGAGGAUGUAUUGGAGCAGGUGUU